rnacentral:rRNA from 1 species
AUGUGUCUUCCAAAAGAUAAAGGAGGUAUGGGGUUUCGGGACCUCCAUGCUUUUAAUUUAGCCAUGCUAGCGAAACAAAGUUGGCGAAUGAUAACGCAUCCGGACACUCUUUCUGCUACUGUCUUAAGAGCAAAAUACUUUCCUGAUGGAAAUAUUUUAAAGGCAGGGCCAAAAAAGGGAUCAUCUUUUACGUGGCAGAGUAUCGUCGCUGGUCUGCAAACGUUCAGGAGAGGCCACAUUUGGAGAGUUGGUUCCGGUGAGAAAAUAAAUAUCUGGGAGGACCAUUGGGUACCUUCGAGUCCAACAAGGAUGAUCCACACAAGGAAAGGGAACGUCUUACUAAGAACGGUGAAUGAGUUGAUUGAUCCUAAUACAGGAGCCUGGGAUGUGGAACUUAUCAGGAUUAUUUUCCUUCCAAUUGAUGCAGAAAGAAUUUUGAGAAUUCCUAUAUCAGUGCAUCUAAACGAGGAUUUUGUAGCAUGGCAUAAGACCAAAUCACACUCAUUUUCUGUUCGGUCAGCCUACUACUCAGAAUGGGAACACCAGUUUGGUUCAAAAAAUUAUUAG